CUACGGGACGCUCCAGUCAAUAAUCUUCCACAAUGGCCGAAAGGCUGAUGGAGCGACGCCGCGUGAUUGAUGACGCCCUUCGGGGUGUAAAAAUCUUUUAUUAGGGAAGAAAUUAAUGACGGUACCUAAUGAAUAAGGGGCUGCUAACCUCGUGCCAGCAGCAGCGGUAAUACGAGGGCCCCGAGCGUUAUCCGGUUUUAUUGGGCGUAAAGAGCGCGUAGGUGGUUUAUCGCAUCUCCUGUCAAAUCUUCAGGCUCAACCUGGAGGCUGCGGGAGAGAUGGAUAAACUAGAGGUUGGGAGAGGUAAGCGGAAUUGUCGGUGUAGGGGUUAAAUCCGUUAAUAUCGACAGGAACACCAAAUGUGAAGACAGCUUACUGGAACACACCUGACACUAAGGCGCGAAAGCGUGGGGAGCGAAUGGGAUUAGAUACCCCUGUAGUC
rnacentral:rRNA from 1 species